GAAAGAAACACAAUUUUCCAUCUUCUUCCUUCCUCGUACCUCAACUCAGAAGCCCUAUUUCUUUAGCCAAUUCCAUCCCUCAAUCCAAAAUUAGUCACUUUUAUGUUGUUAGAUCACAUAAAGGUACUAAGUUUGAUUAGCAAGUUCCUAAUUUAACCAACGCGAAGCAAAGACGAUGAGCUUCAUAUUCAUCAUCUUUUCUGAAGCUCCAUAAUUGAAUCUCUUCUCCACUUUUGAAUCCCCUUUUUUCAACCAUCAAAUUCCAUUUUGUCAUCAAACAGUAAACUUCUCCACUUCCAAUUUUCCACUUCUUCAAACAAAGCAUUCUUUCUUCAAGAACAUCGUCCAAUAUCAUUACGUUUAUCCCCUUCUUGUUCUUAUUUUCUUGUUCGCUCAGUAACUUACCCUCUUCCUCUGUUGCAAAAUCGAACGACAGUUGUUUCUUGUUCAUCGACAGACGGCCAUGGAUUUUGUUUAAAUCCGUAUCAGAACAGAGUUUGCCAGUUGUAUUAGCAUAGACGCAGCCUCCGCCAUAGACAAGGGGAGUUCGGUUUCAGUAAUGGAUUGCUCUUUCUUGCCGGUGCCGGAGGAAGAUCGACGUCUUUUCCGAGGUAUGUAAAUAUUGUUUAAAUCAGGAAGAUGAUGACAGAUUCUUAAGCGCCCAUGAACUGUUGUCUCCAUCACCAUUAUUUGCUAAACACAGAAAGUGAAUGUGAAAUUGGAAAUUGAAACGGAGUAUAGAGAAUUGAAUGAAGUGAUGAUUUGUGAGUAAUUUGUUUAUGGGAGUGAAAAGAAGAUGUCAAUAGGAAUUUAAUUCCUUUUAUGAAUCUGUUGGUGACCGUUGGGGUAGGAAAAUUAAAUGGAAAAUUUGGAACAGUAAAGGAAAAUAUUUGGAAAAUGUGGAUGGAAAUCUCAAAUCUUACGUUCUUCAAAUUGGGUCAAACUUAGUCAAAGUGUGUUAGUGCCAUAAUUGCAUUUAUUUGAUAUUCCACAAAUCCGACUGGCGGAGUAAUUACUUUGUAAAAUUUCUCAACACCUUUGCACAUUUGUUCCCUUCUAAUUAAUGAUUAAUUAUAUAUUGAAAUUUGUUUAA